rnacentral:rRNA from 1 species
GAUGAACGCUGGCGGCGUGCCUAAUACAUGCAAGUCGAGCGAACAGAUGAGGAGCUUGCUCCUCUGACGUUAGCGGCGGACGGGUGAGUAACACGUGGAUAACCUACCUAUAAGACUGGGAUAACUUCGGGAAACCGGAGCUAAUACCGGAUAAUAUAUUGAACCGCAUGGUUCAAUAGUGAAAGACGGUUUUGCUGUCACUUAUAGAUGGAUCCGCGCCGCAUUAGCUAGUUGGUAAGGUAACGGCUUACCAAGGCGACGAUGCGUAGCCGACCUGAGAGGGUGGUCGGCCACACUGGAACUGAGACACGGUCCAGACUCCUACGGGAGGCAGCAGUAGGGAAUCUUCCGCAAUGGGCGAAAGCCUGACGGAGCAACGCCGCGUGAGUGAUGAAGGUCUUCGGAUCGUAAAACUCUGUUAUUAGUGAAGAACAAAUGUGUAAGUAACUAUGCACGUCUUGACGGUACCUAAUCAGAAAGCCACGGCUAACUACGUG